rnacentral:rRNA from 1 species
UACGGAGGGGACUAGCGUUGUUCGGAAUUACUGGGCGUAAAGCGCGCGUAGGCGGAUCGUUAAGUCAGGGGUGAAAUCCUGGGGCUCAACCCCAGAACUGCCCUUGAUACUGGCGGUCUUGAGUUCGAGAGAGGUGAGUGGAAUUCCGAGUGUAGAGGUGAAAUUCGUAGAUAUUCGGAGGAACACCAGUGGCGAAGGCGGCUCACUGGCUCGAUACUGACGCUGAGGUGCGAAAGCGUGGGGAGCAAAC